CAUUUUUUCAGGGUGUGGAUUUUCUUUAAAACCACUGCUACCAUAGGGACAAAUCAAUGAUAAAAAUUGAAACUAAUACAACCAAAUUUUAGAAAAAUUCAAAAUAUUGAAGAGAUACUUACGUUUCAAGCUCUUGAACUUGGUUAGCAUUGUAUUUUUUUCUUAUUGAUGAUUUAUCAUGCAGAGAAUCUAGUUCAUAUCCAAUAGCACUACCUUUUAAUUUGCCACUAAUAAACUUGCUCUCAUUUUAAACAUUUAUUCAAACUUUUCUCACCCAUGUCUUUGUAAUCCUUCAUCUUCAUCAUGGAUUGAGGGUUGUGGUUUGUGGUCAGUGAUUGUGUCUCAGUAAAGUGAAGCACGGACGGACAACAUGGUCCGUAGAGUUGAUUCGACAGUUAAUUCUCAGGGUUAAUUGAGUAUUUUCCUACUCUUUUAAUUUUUAUACUACAUUAUUUUUAGCCUAUUUUGAGGAACUAUAACCAUUUCUAAGACUCAUAUGUUGAACAAAAUAAAAUUGAGCAAGUAGCUAAGAGACUCUGCUGGAAAAAAGUUUGUUGAGAAGGAUGAUAUCGCAAUAUAUAUGGCAGAAGCCGUUCAAUCAUAUGAAGUGUCUGAAUUUCGAAAGACAAACAAAAAUACCACCGAUGUUUCCUGCCCAAGAUCCUGUUAUUGCCUGAAGUUGCAAAUGAAAAAGAGGUGGCCGGUGGACAAUUGGAGAAGUGGCCAAAAAGAUUACACGCAAUACCACCUAGGAUAAGCAGGGGAACUGUAGAUGGUGUCACGGAAGAUGUUUUCCAGAAGGAUUCAGAGCUAUGGAAAAGAAGAGUUUCUUAUUACAAGUCAGUGAAUAACCAGCUUGGCCAGCCUGCGCGAUACAGAAACAUCUUAGAUAUGAAUGCAUUCCUAGGUGGCUUUGCUACAAAUUUGGUCAAUGAUCCUGUUUGGGUGAUGAAUAUAGUUCCCGUUGAGGCUAAGGUCAAUACACUUGGUGCCAUUUAUGAACGAGAACUAAUCGGGACAUACCAGAGCUGGUGUGAGGCUAUGUCAACUUACCCAAGAACAUAUGAUCUCAUUCAUGCUGAUUCUGUAUUUACCCUCUACGAAAAUAGGUAAAUUAUGAGUAUCCUUAUAACUGAAAUAUGUGCUUUUGAGUAUCCUUAUAACUGCAUUGCUGCAAAGCCAAGUGAUUGAAUCUCAGGGUCAGCCACAGACAUGCUUGGCAUCACUUGGGAACCUGAACGUCUGCUCCCCAUUUGUAUUACCAGAAACAUCGAA